UGUGACUCCUACGGGAGGCAGCAGUGGGGAAUAUUGCACAAUGGGCGCAAGCCUGAUGCAGCCAUGCCGCGUGUGUGAAGAAGGCCUUCGGGUUGUAAAGCACUUUCAGUAGGGAGGAAGGUAGUGUAGUUAACACCUGCACUAUUUGACGUUACCUACAGAAGAAGCACCGGCUAACUCCGUGCCAGCAGCCGCGGUAAUACGGAGGGUGCGAGCGUUAAUCGGAAUUACUGGGCGUAAAGCGCAUGCAGGCGGCCUGUUAAGUCAGAUGUGAAAGCCCGGGGCUUAACCUCGGAAUUGCAUUUGAAACUGGCAGGCUAGAGUCUUGUAGAGGGGGUAGAAUUUCAGGUGUAGCGGUGAAAUGCGUAGAGAUCUGAAGGAAUACCAGUGGCGAAGGCGGCCCCCUGGACAAAGACUGACGCUCAGAUGCGAAAGCGUGGGGAGCAAACAGGAUUAGAUACCCUGGUAG
rnacentral:rRNA from 1 species